CACCACCACAACGACCGCACGCUCAGAGAGACGCGCUCACCGCCCCACAACUGUUUGUCUGCGAGCGGGUUCGGUGCUGCGAUACAAGGAUGCCCGUCUCCUCGUCACGCACUUCGCCACAGCAGCGGCUGCCCUCGAAUGCGCCCACAUUCACCCAUCACGAUGUGAGCGCCUUCCGCCUGCGCCCGCUAUCCUAUACAAACGCGACCGCCGCCCCUUCGAGUGCGGCGGCGGCGUCCACAUCGCAACUGCCACAUCUACAACAAUCGGCCGGCAAGAGUGCGACGACAACGACAGCAGCAGCGCGUGGCCUCUUCAAGACUGCGUCGGCGCACCACAGUCGAAGAGCAGCUCAGCCCGCUACCUCUGCAGCGUCGAUGAGCGGCUUUGAGGCGAUACGCGUGCCGCCUGCAGCAACCCCACGUGUCUACGCAGCCCUCAUCCCUGCUCGCGUCCAGCCAAACGAGGACAACAAGAGGGAUAAGAGCGAUGCGAAUCGGCAGAAGGCAAAGUCGUCUCCGCCACCCGGUGCUGGGGCCAGCGUUGCCGGCUGUGCGGCUGCACCCCUCCACGAAGCGCUCGUGGGCUUGCCAGCGUCAACCACGGAGAACAUCGUGGCACCAGACCUGAGCGCUGCCGAGACGCGGCAGCUGGCGCUGUGGACGCGCAGCACGCCAGCCUUUACCGCCUCCACAGCGCCGUCUCAUGCCUCAACGACCUCCUUCAACGGCCCGCUACACCACUGGUGGCGUGAGCGACAGGCGAUGCGGCUCCACCAGCGCCAUGUGGCUGCGCUCGACGAACAGCUGAGCCCGGCUCUCGAGCAAGCUGUGCGAGCACUGCUGACGUCGGAAGAACAUCAUUGGCAGCGCGAGCUGCAGCACCAGCGAGAGCGAAAGAGUGGGGUGUGCCUGGUACCAUCGAGUGCAUCGCCGGUGCCGCUCCACAAGAUGGCGGCGCUGCUGCAAGCGCUGCAGCUGGUCCUUCAUCAGACGAGCGUUUCUUUCAUCGAGGCCCAGAGCAGAAAGACCACCGCCGCAGUCGCCACCGUGGAGGACACGUGUGAUGGAAAUCGCAAUGCAGGACGGCAUGUCGGUCUCACAAGCACCUCAAGCAGUUUCACGGAGCAAGAGAACGAAGUGGAGGCGCAGCACGCAUUGGAGCUGGAGCAGCGUCACGAGGUGCUGCAGGCCGCCCUCAACACGGAGCGUGCACUGGCGGAGGAGGUGAAGCAACAGGUGUCGACGGCUUUGCCGACCGGGGCCGGCGUCUCUGUUGUCGCUCUCCCUUGUGACCGCCCUGUCCCUGCCCCCGUGCUGCGGCUAGAAGCGGCGGUCAGUGUUGCGCUGCUCUCCAGCAUGAUUGAGAAGGCGGAGUCAAUCACGGCAGGCAUGGAGUUCGCAAGCCACCUCCUCCGGCAGUACAUCCUGCCUCACGUGUACGCCGACUAUGCCGGGUGGGCGGCGGUGCGGCCACGGCUGGGAACGCUGAGCGAGCAGGUCACCCACCUUGCAACCCUUCCGCUGCGCGUCCAGCAGCAGCAGAGCCUGAUAGAUGCAGCCGUGCAGGCCCAGGCCGACGCGAAGUACCUCGAGGGCGUUGUGAAGUCGUGGACGAUGCGCGCGUGGCUGCAAGGAGUCAUACGGCACCGCCAGUGCCUCGCCCAGCAGGCUGCAACGGAGCGCGUGGUUGCACGACUACGGGGACGUGUCGAGCUGCAUCGGAUGUUCAGCGCGUGGCGGCGAGAGGCACAGCGCGGGCAGCAGCUUGUACGUGAGGCACGGAUGGAGGCGGCGUACAUCGAAUUUCUCAAUGAGUCGAGGCUAUCAGCGCUGCGGGACAAUCAAGCAUACGUGGGAACAGCGGCGACAAUGGCCACGGCUCUGCUCAUGUACGGCCCCGAAACCUCAGCUGAACCCGUAGCUACAAUGUGGUCUCGUGUUCAGCAGCAGCAGCAGCAAGAGAGCGGGCAAAGACAGCAGGAACUUGCUGCUGGCAACAGGGAAGGAUCUUCAGCAACGGGCAUCCAUGCCAGCGCCGCAUCCACAAUGGUGGACACCCCUGCCGGAUGGGCGGUGGCCCCCAGCCACUCGCGAGGGAGGAGCGCGCAGGCGUCCCUGUCGCCCCCUCCCAGCCGCCAUCGCCACGAAACGCACUCCUCGAAGCGCAAGGGGGCGGGCUACAGCCGAGUCCAACUCUCCUUUAUCCGUCGGAAGGCUGCCGGCGUGGCGUCGGCAGAGCAAGAGAGAGCCGGGGAGGCUGGCACCCGCAGCUUGCAGGGAAGCAAUGCCUCUGCGGCCAAUGAAGUCGUUGCAAGAGAAGAUGGAAAAUGUGGCAUGAUGGAGAGGUACAUUGUGCGGGAUGCCAGCAGCGAAGACCAGAGUGAGGGCAGUAACGAUGAGGACAACGCCAUCGAUGGCGGCGGAACGCUGGCGCAACUCGUCUACCUCGAGUCCCACGCUGACGAUAUCCAAGACGAGGGCAACAGGUCAUACCACGCGCGCUCUACAGCGCCGUCCACAUUCCCAGCAUCUGACAUCAACGCAUCCUUGGCGGAAGCCACUUCUAGUCGCGGAGGUGACGCCGGCGGCGUCCCGAUGCACCCUCUCUUCCAGACGAUGCUAGCGAAGCUGCACGAAAUUGACCGGGUCAACGCCUAUCUCCGCGCGGAGCUGGCCGUGCAGUCUCGGCGACUGCGCAAGGUCGAAGCUGCAAAUCAUGGCCUGCGUGAGCGGAAUCGCCAGCUGGAGGAUGGCACGCUGCAGUUGCUGCGCGACAAGCUGGAGGCGCUCAACACCGCACAAGAGCAGCUCAUGACGAUCAAGGAGAAGAACCGCCAGCUGCGGCACGUCCGCUCUCGCCUGCGCGCGCACCGGCACCGCCCGUGGCAGAACACCGUGCUGCGCGUCGUCGGAGACAUGUGCGAGGUCUCCACAGCGGCAGCCGAGGGUGCCGACGAGGCGCGCGUGCACGCGGAUCGCUACGGCACAGGGUGCACCACCAGCGACGAUGACGAUGGUGACGAGGGCGAGCUCGGCAACGCCUCGCCUCAUGCCGCGAAGUCCGCCGUGGCUGCCGAGGCGACGGCGGACGGGCGAGAGGCGACAGCCACCAUGUCGGUGACAUCGGCUUCCACAGAAAGCCGCGCGGCGCCGCCACGCAGCGAAAGCGAUGAGGAACGUCUGUUCAGCCGCAUCGCCCCAAUCGUGCUGCGCUCAGACCGUCAACUCCCUGAUGCCCUUGUCAUCAUCGCAGACUGGGCCAACAGCUGCCUCGACGACCUGGAGUGCCUCGACGACAUGAAGGAUGGCCCUCUAGCCGAGCGCUUCCACAGCUUCAGCGAGGAAGCGCGGAGCGGGGUGCUGAUCAGUCGACUUCUCUACUACCUUGCCCUGCCGCGGUACCGCACCACGACGUCGGCCGCCGAGAUGGAACGUGGCGUCGGCGCGAGCGUGGGCAUGAGCGACUCUGCCGGGGCCAGGCUGGAUGGCAUCGAUCGCCGACGUCAACUGCUGGAACAGCAUGGCGUGCAGCUAAACCCGCCCUUCCCUGUGUACGCCGACUGUUUUGGUGAUUUGCUGGCCGCACCGCCUGUAGAGCGCAUGUCCCAGCUUCUCGCCUUUGCGACAGAGCUCAUGGCCGGUCAAGACGUCUCGGCACAGGAGCAGAACGAGGCGUGGCGGGCGAACACCACAAACGGUGAGAAUACAAGCGGGCAGGCCACUGUCGACGUUCGUGUGAGCGCGGCAGAGGCGGGGGAUGUGAAACGGUCGCCGCGAGCCGCCGUGGCGUCGCUGCCUACGCUGUCAGCUCCGUUGCCGCUCCACACCGCGGUCGACCCGCACGCCAUCGUGCGCGGUGAGAGGUCAGCCGUCAUCACGCUCGUGGCGCUUCUUUACGUCCGCUUCGCGCACCCCUUCCACCACAAGAGUCUUCAGAGCGCGAAGCGAGAGCGCAGCGCACUGCUGUACCUCUGGAGCGGCGGCCAAGCGACAGCGGCCGAGCUCAACGGCAUCGUCAACGGCAGCCUCCGAGAUGCUGCAGGAGGGGGCGGCAGUCCGGCGGAAAUUACGGCGACGCUUGACCGGGCACCGCCAUCCGGCUACUCGAUCGAGGCGGACAUGCUGCGUCAGCUGCCGACAGAAGACAAGACGGCGUGGCAGCUCUUCCGUGAGCGUUGCCUUCCUGUCUUCGGCACACAGGCGCACCCCUUCCUGCUGCGCGGCGGCUUCUGGCCAAGCGACGCCUUCGAGAGCCCUGAGCUGGCCGCGAUGCUGAGCACCCUCGCCAUAGUGCUGCGCCGCUCACUGGAGCUGCACCGCUGGCAUGUUACGCUCAACUGCCUGGUGCCGGUGCGCACGUAUGGUGGGCUGAGCAACGGUGUCUUUACCGGACCGUGUGCGUCAGCCCCGGCACUACUGCUGGGACUUCGUCAGGACGGUAAGGAGAACCUCUCCAUCGAGCAUCCGCUCAUCCGUCAGUGCGUGGAGCAGCGCCAGCAGGCCUACCUGAACGCGCUGGCGAGCGAGACCUUCGGCGCCUCUCUCACCUCCGUGGACGAUGAGGCAGCCAAGCCGCCGACACAGCAACAGCAUCUGACCGACCCCACUGCUGAGACGGCGUCACUGACGGACGCCAUCACCGGUCUUUGGCAGGAAGAUCUUCUCUCGCUCUUUGUGCAGCGCGCCACCCUCUCCGCACACCUGGCGCUUCCGGUUCUCGACCUCGGCAGCUGGCGCAUGCUGUGUAGUGACCUCGGAGUGAUCAGCUUGGCGAGCCCAGACAGCGAGGACGCCGGCGCGCAUGAUUCUGCGGUGCUCAGGAGGCGCGAAUCUGGUCAGUCACAGAUGCAAGUCCAGUCAUUAUGGUCACGCCAGCCGAAGCCGCAGUUGCAGGCGAUAGACAUGGAGGUAGUGACGAAGCUCUUUCAACGCGCCGUCAUGGCGGUGUCGUUCGCUCGGGAUGAGGUGGACCCCGCAGUGCUGCAGUCGGCACGGACCGCCAGGGAGGCGUCGUCGCAGACGGCGCCAGCGGCCACGGAGCUGCGCCGCGAGGGUGACGACAGGCGGAGUCGUUCGCCGAAGUCAUCAAUGCAGCAUCAGACGCUACCAGACAUACAGAUGGACAUGACAUACCCGUCGUUUGUGAUGGCGCUUGUGCUACUGGCGCACCGUCUCUACCCGGCCUUCAUCUCGGCGACUCCAGCAGGCGUAGCAGUGCAACCCUUGUCUUCACCGACUGCCUUUGUCGGCAGCUGGGAAUCUAGCACCCUCGCCAGUAGCGAUGAUGGGCGGCUCGGGGGUCCCGCCUCGCUGCCGCCGUAUGGCGAUGAGGCGAACCGCAGCCGCCGCGUGUCGAGCAGCAAGCCCACCUACUGCUCCCUUAUGGAGGCUUUCAGGUUCAUGAUGCAGGGCAUCGUGCUGCCCAGCUCCGCCGCCCACCUGCAAGCGACAGAUCCUCGCUUCGUUCUUCACCAGCUCACGCGUGGCGUGAGGACACAGGUGGUGCUACGGAAUUGCGCCCCAGCGCUGCUGCUUGUGUUUCAGACUUAUAGCAAGGAGGUUUUCGGGGAGCCGGGGAUGGUGCGCAAGGAUGUGCUUCGGCUUCUGCGCGAUGCGAUGCUCACCAGCACCGAGCUCUCACAGCAUCGCAUCCAUGAGCUCUUUUCCAGCUGCUCUGUGCUGCGCCAGGCGAACGAAGAGGUCGCCAUCGCCAACCGCAAGGAGAUGGAUCGGCUGGCGCACGCCAACGGCGGCCCUGGCAGCCUCCCGUUGUCGUCGCGACGGCCAGGCUACCGCGCGGUGCGUAUCGUCGAUCCAGAUGCCGCCACCGAGUCCGCCGUCGCGCAACCAGCGCAUCGAAAGCGCGCCCACGUUCUCACCUUCGAGGGCUUCUGCGAUUUUCUGUGCGUCCUGUGCGGCUUCAAGCAGCCGAACGUGUUUGUCCCGUUUGAGGAGCGCCUGCUCUCCUUCCUGCAUCACUCGCUCCUGCGGCCGCUGACGCACAUGGUGCCUGCUCUGGCGUCGCUGGUGUCGCGCUCGCAGCUAGCCGGGGGGUCGAACAGCGUCUUGGUCUCUUCUGGCACAGCGGGAGCCGGUAGCGUCAACAACGACGGCAUCUCCAGCCACACGGGCGGAGGGGGUGGCAGCGGUGUGAUUGGCGCGUGCGGCGCAGCCUCGUAGCGGCUGCGGGCAUGAAUGGGAAGGACAGGAAGUAAGGGCUCGCUCGCGUCUGCAGUAAAGUCACGCAAGGACACAAAGAGUGUGCGUGGGCGCUUGUGUGUGUGUGUGUGCAUGUUGGUGUUUGGCUGUACUGUUCAUGUUUCCUCUGUUGUUGUUACUGUUGUUGUUGCUGCCCAUGUACAGCGGAUCGCCUCCGCCAUGAGUGAGUGCGUUGUGUGCGGACGUGUCUGUGUGCGUGAUCAAUGUUGCCCCCACCCUCCCACCACCACCACUCCUUGGAACCCUCUAUCUAUCUUGCUCGUGUCACUCUGUGGACACCCCCCUCCUUCUAUCUGACAGGUCAGUCCUGCACGGUGUUGCUCUCGCUCUCUGGGUUCGCUUCUUGAUGCAGGUGCGGUGCUACGUGUCGGCUGUGCCUUCUCCCCUCCCUCGUCAUGUCGUCAUUAUCUGCGGCAUGCAUGUACAUACGCUCUGGCAAGACGCACGUAAGCGAGGCGACAGUGAUCGCCAUGCAGGACGUCUCUCCAUUCCACGCGACCUCCCCCCCCCAAAGGGCUGCACGUGAAGGGUGAGUAGCAGCGACAGGGUCGCGUCGUGUCUGCCAGUGUGCACCACCUUUCUCUC
rnacentral:misc_RNA from 1 species